CAUGCAGUCGAGCGGAACGAUGAUAGCUUGCUAUCAGGCGUCGAGCGGCGGACGGGUGAGUAAUACUUAGGAAUCUACCUAGUAGUGGGGGAUAGCACGGGGAAACUCGUAUUAAUACCGCAUACGACCUACGGGAGAAAGGGGGCAGUUUACUGCUCUCGCUAUUAGAUGAGCCUAAGUCGGAUUAGCUAGAUGGUGGGGUAAAGGCCUACCAUGGCGACGAUCUGUAGCUGGUCUGAGAGGAUGAUCAGCCACACCGGGACUGAGACACGGCCCGGACUCCUACGGGAGGCAGCAGUGGGGAAUAUUGGACAAUGGGGGAAACCCUGAUCCAGCCAUGCCGCGUGUGUGAAGAAGGCCUUUUGGUUGUAAAGCACUUUAAGCAGUGAAGAAGACUCCGUGGUUAAUACCCACGGACGAUGACAUUAGCUGCAGAAUAAGCACCGGCUAACUCUGUGCCAGCAGCCGCGGUAAUACAGAGGGUGCAAGCGUUAAUCGGAAUUACUGGGCGUAAAGGGAGCGUAGGUGGCUCGAUAAGUCAGAUGUGAAAUCCCCGGGCUCAACCUGGGAACUGCAUCUGAUACUGUUGAGCUAGAGUAUGUGAGAGGAAGGUAGAAUUCCAGGUGUAGCGGUGAAAUGCGUAGAGAUCUGGAGGAAUACCGAUGGCGAAGGCAGCCUUCUGGCAUAAUACUGACACUGAGGCUCGAAAGCGUGGGUAGCAAACAGGAUUAGAUACCCUGGUAGUCCACGCCGUAAACGAUGUCUACUAGUCGUUGGGUCCCUUGAGGACUUAGUGACGCAGCUAACGCAAUAAGUAGACCGCCUGGGGAGUACGGCCGCAAGGUUAAAACUCAAAUGAAUUGACGGGGGCCCGCACAAGCGGUGGAGCAUGUGGUUUAAUUCGAUGCAACGCGAAGAACCUUACCUGGUCUUGACAUAUCUAGAAUCCUGCAGAGAUGCGGGAGUGC
rnacentral:rRNA from 1 species